GGUCUAAAGAAAAAUAUAUGCUGCUAAGGGAAUCUUAAGCAAAUAUAUAUAGGAUUACAAUCCCUAAGUGACCGAUCACCCCCAAUAUAUGGGCUUCUCGGCCCUUACAAAAAAUAAAGCCCCAAAAAUAAUCCAAACAAGAGUAUUAGAUUUUAAUUAAAUCUAAACUAAUUAACUCCAAGCACAAUCUCUAAUCUUCUUUAAAAAUCACACAAACUUCAUUAUAUGCACGUCUUUCUCGAUCUCACGGCAUCCACGAGCCUCCAACCACACUUCAUGCAAUUCCUACGCCAAAAUAU
rnacentral:lncRNA from 1 species